CUAAGAUCAAUUUAUUAUUGAAGAAAAACAUUUUUGACAAAUUUAGUGUACCCUAAGUAUACAGUGUUUAUGUAGUCUACAGUAGUGGACAGUAAUGUCUGAGGCUUUCACGUUCACUCAUCACUCACUCACUGGCUCACUCAGAGCAACUUCCAGUCUUUCAAGCUCCAUGAUAUAUGCCUUCUACAGGUAUAUUAUUUUAAAAAAUCUUUUAUAAUAUAUUUUUCCUGUCACUUUUAUAUGUUUAGAUACACAAAUAUUUAGAAUUAUGUCACAGUUGCCUACAGUAUUCAGUACAGUAACAUGCUGUACCGGUUCCUAGCUUAGGAGCAAUCAACUAUACCAUACAGCUUAGUAUAGUAGCCUAUACAAUGUAGGUUUGUGUAAGUAUACUCUAUGAUGUCAUAUGCUGAUAAAAUCACUUAACAAUGCAUUUCUUAGAAUGUAUCUCUGUCACUAAGUGAGGCAUGAUUAUAUACAUAAUUCAGAGAUCCUGAAUGUUGAGACAUAAAGAAGAUAUUACUUUCAGUCAUCUCUUCUGAAAAGGGAGUAGGUGUAUAUGAUCUCUGGGUAAAGUGAAAAAUAUGGUUUUUGCUGGCCAGAGGUUAGACUGUGGCAAAGAUUGCUUUUCAUCAAAAUUUAUUAUCCCUUCUCAAGUGUAGGGAGCUGUCUGACAUGGAGAAAGGGAGAGACUAUCUCUCACAUCACUAGAAUGAUUAUCCACAUAAAGAGAAUGAAGAAGACUUCUACAAUGAUGGUGGAGACAAAUGAAAAUUGGAGUUCAUGUUGCCUUUCCCUGGAGAAGCAGAGAACAAGUAAAUCAAGUAUAUGGGAGGGGAAAGAGUAAAGACAGAACUGGGACUCAUUUCUCUCUUACUGAGAGGGUGUCCCAUGGAAAGAACACCUCUUACCAGCCUCCUUAUAAACAUUCUGAUGAUACUUACUGA
rnacentral:lncRNA from 1 species